ACGGCGGAGUGCGGUGGAAUAAGGCGACGACGAGAAGCGGUGAGCCUGAAGACACCAACAGGGCUGCUAGAAACGGCAAAGUAUUAAUAUGUAUGCAACCUUAAGAUAAUCCUUCUUCCAACUGGAUUGUAACCCUCCUUCUGCAUAGAAUUUCUGGAUCUGGUGUGAUAUAAAUGUAACAAUAUCAAGCAAGAAUCUAUCCAACAGGUGGCUUACUGACGUGCCCUGGCAGUUUAAAUUCCUGCUUUGAUUCUCCACAAAGAGAGAGAUGAGACAUCUUAAUGAAGUACAACAGAACACAUAAGAAAAACUAAUGAAAAGAACAUGAGGAUGCCCCAAAGGAAAUUCUUUACUGACACUGAAUUGGAGAACUGAUUAUUUUCCCCAACUGAUGGCUUUGUGUUUCUGGAAAGACGACUUUCAACAUGCAAAUUGAAUGCAUCAAAAACCAUUCUGAUGCAAGACCAGAGCUUCAAAACUCUUUUUACAAUUUCAAAAUGAGUUUGCUGCCCAAAGGAAAAAAAGACUAACUACUCUAAAUAGCUCAGAAAUUUCUCCCUGACUGAUGAACUGCUUUUAUUAAAGAGUUUACUGUCCCCCCCCCCAAUUUGAAUAGAAAUUUCUAAAAAUUGACAAAAGGUAAGAAGGCAAGGAAAGAAAUUGCAAACUUCUGACAAAACAGAAGUAUCCAUACUCAAACAAUAGGAAUGGAACAAUAAAACGGGAAAAAUGCUCUUGACAUAAUGAUAGCAAGCAAGAAUAUGGUGCAUCCUGGGAGCCAGGUACUAGUGUUAACCCAUCGUGUAUGGUAACUCAUUUAAUCUUCACAGCAGAAGUAUUUCUAACAUCUGUUUACAGAUGAGGCAACUGAGCCAGAAAAAAAUGGUUAAGUGAGUUGCGCAAGUGGUGAAGCCAGAAGUUUUUGGCAUCUCUGACUCCAUAUUCCUGGCUCUAAACCAUGCACUGCUACCUAACACAUCUAGCUUAACAAUUAGAAUCUCUGUGGUUCUGAAGUAAUUACUGGACUGCUUUUUCCAAACAACUAGGCUAAGGAGAGAAAGAGAGUAGAGACUCAACCCUUCCUUAUCUCUUCAAAAGUCUUCACAGUCUUAAGGAUAGUGAAAGAAAUGUUUCCCUGUGUAAGUUUUUACCAGGGGAAUAAUAAAAACAACACUGACCAAAGCUCCAUAAAUCAUCUGCCAGGAAUCCCAUAAGAAAAUACAAUGGUCUGGCUUCAACCAUCCCUCCUGCAACUUUAAUAGGCCUAGAUGUUUAGAUAUAUUUCUUUCAAGUUUUUACAGCAAAACUAGUUUUACAGACAAUUUGUUUGGGGAGAAAAAAACAACAAAGAACAUUCCUAUGUUUUAGUGGUAAAUGUAUUUUUAGCUGAUAUAAGAAUUUUUGUCAUUGAGAGUCAAUAGGGAAACCAUGUAAGUUAUUCAAUAUCCAACAGGUCCAUUGAGUUAUCAUAUAAAAGCUGUAAUUCACUGGGACAGACUAAAUGUGCCAAAUUGUAUACUAUAGUUGGUGUUUUUAUCAACAUGAUGAACUUAAAAAGAUGUCUGCCUGAAUAGAUUUUGUUUUCAUGGCUAAAUAGAAAUCACCAGUUACUUUGAAAGGAAAACAUAUUUACAUCUAUCUUUUCACAUGGCAAAUGUUUUUCCCAGGGUUUCAUUUGUUUCAAAUUACUCUUUUUCUGGGACUGAGGGAGAUGAAAUCUGAUAAUGCAUUGUUGGAAAUAAUGUUUAAUUCAUUUCAUUUUUUAAAAGUUCAGCCACAUAUUUCUCUGACUUAAGUUAACUUUAUUAUAAAAUUUAGAGCCUCCUGGAAUUUUAAAUAAGGAUUAGUCAUUCACCCCAAGACAUUCUGCUUAUUCUUGAAACUCCCAAGAAAACAAACAUGAAUUGAGCUCCUGCUCUGGGUCAAGCACCAUGCUAGAUAAAUCACUCAUAAGAUGACUUUGCUCUUGCAAGGAUGUAUUAUUCUCAGUUUGCAUUUAGAAAAUAUUGGUACUCACAGUAGUAAUCUUUUCCAAGGUGGUUACUGUUAGAACUGAAAUGCUGCCUGCUGGUUUUCUGGAAGCAUAGCCCAGGGACCACAGGACACGGCCAUCCUUCAUAACACAUAGAAGUCAUCGGCAUUUCCCUUCCAUGCUAAGGGCAGACAGGUGAAAUGAAGGUUGCAACAAAGGCUAGGAGUGACGGUUGCUGCACAAUACUGCCUUGGCUUCCUCUAGAACCAAAGCAGUCUGGGAAAUAGCAUCCAAUACCAUAUAAUACCUUGACCAGCAAACUCUUUAUGCUGUUUUAUGCUCAAGGAAAAAGCAAGUUUUUGGAUUGGCUAAAAUUUGGAUUCUUGUUCAGAAAUAUUAUUUUCAGGGUGUAUCCUGGGAUAUCCACUUCCAAGAAGAUGUAUCCUCAAUUAAUUUUAGGCGCAGUCUCCCCCCUUUUACCAGUUGUCAUUUUUAACAAAUUUGAUACAACUGAAGUUCUCAAAUAUACUCCAGUGGUUGUGCUGGAGCUAGUUCUUUUGGUUUCCAUCAUCAAAAUGGAAGAACAUAAUCCAGUUAUAAGGUAAGAGACAUCUUGAUUCCCCUCACCCCCAUAAGUAGACAAGAUUCAGACUAAACCAUGUUAUUUUGCACUCCUGGUACUUGGGGUGGUUUUUAAUGCAGUAAAAGCUAAUAGUCGGUAUUUUAGACCAACAGCCUAACCACUGAGAUUUACCUCUCAGAAUCUUCCCUAUAACUUCAGUUGUUGUAUUAAAUUGGGUUUUCCACUGUAGGUUAAUAGUAAGUACUGUAGGUUGAUAGUCUCUGGGCCACUUUUCUCAGCUAGCAACUUGCUAUAGAGGAUAUAUAAAAUAAACUCUUGUCAAUCAGCAUAUUGAUAGGUGAUAGAUGACACACACAUCCAUACAAUAAUAAACUUGGAGGUAGUAUUGAGCUCUUGUGUAUAUGUGCUUGUGCAUGUUUAGCAAAAAAUAUAGCAU